AGAGUUUGAUCCUGGCUCAGGACGAACGCUGGCGGCGUGCCUAACACAUGCAAGUCGAGCGGAGGUAAGCGGAUGGUAACUGAAGCUUACUUUAGCGGCGGACUUUAGCGGCGGACGGGUGAGUAACACGUGGGCAACCUGCCUCGAAGUGGGGGAUAACACCGAGAAAUCGGUGCUAAUACCGCAUAACAUACAGACAUCACCUGAUGACUGUAUCAAAGGAGACUACCGCUUUGAGAUGGGCCCGCGGCUGAUUAGCUAGUUGGUGAGGUAAUGGCUCACCAAGGCGACGAUCAGUAGCCGACCUGAGAGGGUGACCGGCCACACUGGAACUGAGACACGGUCCAGACUCCUACGGGAGGCAGCAGUGGGGAAUAUUGCGCAAUGGGGGAAACCCUGACGCAGCAACGCCGCGUGGAGGAAGAAGGUCUUCGGAUUGUAAACUCCUGUCUUCUGGGACGAUAAUGACGGUACCUAAGGAGGAAGCUCCGGCUAACUACGUGCCAGCAGCCGCGGUAAUACGUAGGGAGCAAGCGUUGUCCGGAAUUACUGGGCGUAAAGAGCGUGUAGGCGGCCCUUUAAGUCAGAUGUGAAAACUCAGGGCUCAACCCUGAGACGGCAUCUGAAACUGGAGGGCUUGAGUGCAGGAGAGGAAAGUGGAAUUCCUAGUGUAGCGGUGAAAUGCGUAGAUAUUAGGAGGAACACCAGUGGCGAAGGCGACUUUCUGGACUGUAACUGACGCUGAGGCGCGAAAGCGUGGGGAGCACACAGGAUUAGAUAUCCUGGUAGUCCACGCCGUAAACGAUGAGCACUAGGUGUUGGGGGACAUACAACCUCCGUGCCGGAGCUAACGCAAUAAGUAUCCCGCCUGGGGAGUACGGUCGCAAGGCUGAAACUCAAAGGAAUUGACGGGGACCCGCACAAGCAGCGGAGCAUGUGGUUUAAUUCGAAGCAACGCGAAGAACCUUACCAAGGCUUGACAUCCCUUGACCGCCAUGGAAACAUGGCUUCCCUUCGGGGCAAGGAGACAGGUGGUGCAUGGUUGUCGUCAGCUCGUGUCGUGAGAUGUUGGGUUAAGUCCCGCAACGAGCGCAACCCUUGUCAUUAGUUGCCAGCACGUAAAGGUGGGAACUCUAAUGAGACUGCCGGGGAUAACUCGGAGGAAGGUGGGGACGACGUCAAAUCAUCAUGCCCCUUAUGUCUUGGGCUACACACGUGCUACAAUGGCCGGUACAAAGGGCUGCGAAACCGUAAGGUGAAGCGAAUCCCAUAAAGCCGGUCUCAGUUCGGAUCGUGGGCUGCAACCCGCCCACGUGAAGCCGGAGUUGCUAGUAAUCGCGAAUCAGCAUGUCGCGGUGAAUGCGUUCCCGGGCCUUGUACACACC
rnacentral:rRNA from 1 species